GUAGUACAAAAAUGGCAUCAAAAAAAUUAAAAACAUCUGAUGAAGAAAGUACAACAGCUAUAAUUCAUGCGAACAUUAAUGAUAUGCCUGAGGAACUUUUGUUGAUGCUUUUUUCGUAUUUAACCCCUCAAGAACUAUAUUGUAUUAUAAGACCGGUGUGUAAAAGAUGGUGGCGUAUGUCAAAAAUACCAUCUCUAUGGAGAAAUAUAAAAGUGAAGGACGAUGUACCACUAACGGAAUUAAGAAAAUGGUUUCAAAUUGCAGAAGAUCUUAAUCAUUUAGAAUUAAUAAAUAGAGAAGACGUUAGUGUUAUACUAAGGGAUGUUUCUGCCUAUUCGUCAAAUCUGGAAACGUUGACUUUGACAAAUUGUAAGGGUUCCGCAACUUCUCCGGUAAUACCAAGCCAAGAUCUAUGCAAGAUUCUUCCAGAUGAUCUGUAAGAGGACAACAGAACAAAUAUGCUCUUACUCAGGUCCUGUUUCUCCUCUACAAUUAUAUUUGAUGAGUGAAAAUGAUGAAGAAUUAUUCGAUAGUGAUAAUUAAUAUUAUGUUAAUUAUAAGUUAUUUUUUUAUUAUGAAUAAAUCUACGAUAAUGAA